rnacentral:misc_RNA from 1 species
CAGUUAUCUAACUCUCUUUGCCUCUCUCAUUGCAGGUUUUACUUGUCUGCUUUGUUACAAGCACUGUCACUUACGGAUCAAUGGCAGUUCUGGGUUACCUUAUGUAUGGAGAACAUUUGAGGUCUCAGGUGACGUUAAACCUUCCCAUCAGAAAAAUUAGUGCAAAAAUAGCAAUAUACACCACUCUAGUAAAUCCCCUGACCAAGUAUGCAGUUAUCACUACUCCAAUUGCUAAAGCUAUUGAGGACACAUUUCGUUUAGGCAGCAACAAAUCUCUCAGCAUCCUCGUCAGAACACUAGUUGUGAUCAGCACAUUGGUUG